UAGGAGGGAAUCACAGACAAUGAGCCAUCGAUUUCUCUGUAUAGUGAUGCUCACCAAAACAAGGGCAAGAAACAAACCUCUGCUUAUAUGGAGAUUUAAAUAGAGCCUUCGGAACCACCUCAAUGGCAAAAUGCUUGAACUUUUUUCCCUGAUCCUUCCAUUUGAAAGAGAAUGCUCCUUCCUCUGACCCUCUGGCAAGCAUGUCCAAUCUUUGAUGGUGCAGCAGGAUGUUGUCAUCUACAAAGGUCACACUGGAGAACUGGAAACCAAUUAUAAGCAACCAAGUUACAAGAAAAGAAUACCUAAAAAGUUCUCAAAAGGCUAUAGGUCACUCUAUAGUUUUGUAUUGGAGCAUGUCAGCUGUUAUAGAGAGUGUGAUCCCUUCAGUCUAUGAAUUAAACAAUCAUAUUGAAGCUUUCAGCAUGGUCUGUCCUGUCAUUCCUUCUGCUCACAAACCAUCAACUACUUUCUUAGCCCCUUGGGAGAAUAAUCAUUGCAUUCAGAUCACAGAUCCAUUAUACCCUCUGAAGAAACUUUCUGUCAUCCUAAUUGGUUAAGAUCCCUUGAACCUUCAGGAAUAUCUAUCCCUGGUUUUGUUUCUGGUUUUGCUUUUGCUUUUGCUUUUUAAAACAAUGCCUUCCUCAUUUGCAAUUCUCAUUGUUUGAAGAAUAAUGUGAUUGUCUUUGGCCUUCCCUGGCUAGUGGCCUCCAUGAAGGUGGAACUCUGGCUAUUUUAUGCCGUAUUAACACGUAUUUACACCUCACACACUCCCUGCAUAGCAUAGGCGAAAGAAGAACAACCCCGAACAAGGAAAAUGAUGCUGCUUAUAUACCCCUCCAUGUGACGUGUCAGCUCCUGAUUAGCUGCUCACUCAUCACCCCACUACUAUGCCCCCGGGAUGGGCAGUGACUUGGCACAAAUUUACUCUUGCACCUGUGCACAUUACUUGUUUACCAAUUAGGCACAGUGGAGGCUCGUGAUGGCAAUUGCUCACGGCUCUCCACACUGCAUUAUACUGAAAGAAAAUGAGAUUUUGUAUCUUGUCUAUGAGCCACGGCCUGGGGCCGAGAACAAAGCAGAACAGACAGGGCUGUUGUUAAGACAUUCCUAAGAACAGCUUGAUUGUACAAGCAGGGCUAUCUUGUCUGGGUCAACACCACCUGGCCGGAACCUCCCCUCUGUCUACUGCCCCUUGAUGCCGGGUAAAGUCAACAUCAACUGGUUGCUAUGUGAACAAGAU
rnacentral:lncRNA from 1 species